rnacentral:rRNA from 1 species
GAUGAACGCUGGCGGCGUGCCUAAUACAUGCAAGUCGAGCGAACAGACGAGGAGCUUGCUCCUCUGACGUUAGCGGCGGACGGGUGAGUAACACGUGGAUAACCUACCUAUAAGACUGGGAUAACUUCGGGAAACCGGAGCUAAUACCGGAUAAUAUAUUGAACCGCAUGGUUCAAUAGUGAAAGACGGUUUUGCUGUCACUUAUAGAUGAUCCGCGCCGCAUUAGCUAGUUGGUAAGGUAACGGCUUACCAAGGCGACGAUGCGUAGCCGACCUGAGAGGGUGAUCGGCCACACUGGAACUGAGACACGGUCCAGACUCCUACGGGAGGCAGCAGUAGGGAAUCUUCCGCAAUGGGCGAAAGCCUGACGGACCAACGCCGCGUGAGUGAUGAAGGUCUUCGGAUCGUAAAACUCUGUUAUUAGGGAAGAACAAAUGUGUAAGUAACUAUGCACGUCUUGACGGUACCUAAUCAGAAAGCCACGGCUAACUACGUG